AUUUUUUUUUUUUUUUGAGAUGGAGUCUCGCUCUGUCGCCCAGGCUGGAGUGCAAUGGCGUGAUCUUGACUCACUGCAACCUCCACCUCAUAGGUUCAAGCAAUUCUCCCUGCCUCAGCCUCCUGAGUAGCUGGGAUUACAGGUGCCUGCCACCAUGCCUGGCCAAUUUUUUGUUUUUAAUAGAGACGGGGUUUUGCCAUGUUGACCGAGCUGGUCUUGAACUCCUGACCUCAGGUGAUCCACCUGCCUUGGCCGCUCAAAGUGCUGGGAUUACAGGCAUGAGCCACCUUGCCUGGCCAAUUAUAUAGGUUUUUAAAACUGUAUACAUAUGGCAUUUUUUUAAAAUAGUGAGACCAAGAUAUUAAAUAAUAAUUCAUAAAAUGAUAGAACUAAAAGACCCCUUGAACAUUUCUAAAUUACAUAAGUUGAUUAUAAUUUUGCUCAUGCUUAUAUAAUAAAACAAAACCACAGAAAAAAUAAAAAUUUCAAGGGCAUUUUUUUUUGCUUUCUGCCGGUACCAUGCUGUUUUGGUGACUAUAACCUUGUAGUAUAGUUUGACGUAGGGUAAUGUGAUGCUACCAGAUUUGUUCUUUUUGUUGAGUCUUGCUAUGGCUAUGUGCCUAUCACCCUCAGAGCCUAAGGGAGAAGGGGACAGCAGUGGAUAGAAACUUGGAAGAAGAAAGAUGUAGGGAAGAUCUCCUUGAAUAGGAGCAGGGCCCCUAAUGAGGGAUGCAUCAGCCUCGGUGAAGGAGUCAAGGGCUCCUACAGGGCCACAGUUUCCUUCUUAGCGGUGUUCUUUGGCUGGAGAAGCAGAAGGCUGGGAGCCUACAGCACAUCAAAGCAGGGAGGAGAGGAGGGAGAGCUCUUGAGGAACCCAUGGAAGAUGUUCCAGGCCACAUGUAAACCUGCAAAAGAGGCAGGGGAACAAUGGCCCCGAGUGUGAUGUGCAUUGCACAGACAAGGCAAAAACAGUGAAGUAAAAUCACAAAAAAAGUGUGCGGAUCUGAUUUAUGAACAGUUAGCAUGAAACAUUCUCAAAUAUUUCAUUGCGCUGUCUGGUUAAGUGAAAAAAAAUAUUGUACAAAUGUUCAGAUGUAUGUCUCUUUCCAUAAAAACUUGUAAGGUGAAAUGCAUUAGCCAUGGUUUCACCAUGGAGGAAGAAUAUGGCAUGUGAAUUAACUGUCUUUUCUUUUUAACCAGUCAAGUAUGCUGACAUUUGCAGUCUAAAACAUAGAAAGUAAAAUGAUUUAUUGUCCUUUGGCAUAUACCUAGUAAUGAGAUUGCUGGGUCAAAUGGUAUUUCUGUUUUAUAUUCUUCGAGAAAUCUCCAAAUUGUUUUUCGCAGGGACUGAAAUAAUUUACAUUUUUACCAACAAUGCAUAAGCAAUCCUUUUGCUCCACAGCCUUGCUGGCUUCUGUUAUUGUAUGACUUUUUAAUAAUAGACCUCUGAUUGGUAUGAGAUGGUAUCUCAUUGUGGUUUUGAUUUGCAUUUAUCUGAUGAUUAGUGAUGUUGAGCAUUUUUAAAUGUUUCUUGGCCACUUGCAUGUCUUCUUUUUGAGAAAUAUCUGUUCAUGUCCUUUGCCUACUUUUUAUUGGGGUUAUUUGGUUUUUGCUUGUGGAGUUAAGUUCCUGAUAGAGCCUGGAUAUUAGACCAUUGUUGGAUGCAUAGUUUGUAAUAAAUCUGCAUAUGUAAGCCCUAAAUCUAAAAUAGAAGUUGAAAUUAUUUAAAAAAAUAGAGAGUAAAUAUUGAUAAUGUAAUGCUCAAUACUUACUGAAUACUUCUUAUGUGCCAUAAGCACUUUCUUACUCAAUCCUCCCACAACUCAAGGAGGUAGUUACUUUGAUUUGUCCCUAUUUGCAAGUGAAUUGUCUCAGCACAGUUAUGACACUUGACCAACAUCAGUGGCAGAUUGGGGUCUGACAGCAACCUGUAUGACCUGGGACUUGAGUUGGUGGCCUCUGUGUAGCCCCACCUUGGGCCUGGCCUUUCUAGCUCUGUGGCCAGAGGGCUCUGGCUCAGCCAUCUCACAAGUUUUACAAAAGCCGGUAGUGAAUCACUCUUCUCUCUCAUGAUCAAGCACCUUCAGAAAGCACCAAGGGCAGGCUCCACGGAAGGAAAUAACUUUAAAGUUCAUAAGGCAUCAUUACAUUGCGAUUGCGGUGCAUUAUAGGAGGCCACGUCCUGACACUGUGUCCGAUCAUUACUCCAGAGGAAAGGGCCCUCUGCAGUGUUGAAUUUUCUGAGACUGUCUCUCCCCAUUAUCUCCAAUAAACUGGGUCUAUUCCAUAGAGCAGUUAAAUUAACAGUACCUGAUGACACUCUGAGGCUUUCAAUGAAAUAAAAAUGAUCACAAACUAAGCCGAGCUGCCUGUACCCUCACGGGGAAUCUAUAUACACAGUUGACUGGGUUGUUACAUUUAUGCCUGUUAGAAUGUAUGCAUGCAUCAUGGCAGGAAUGAAUACAGGAAGAGAAAAUACCAGGGAAUGAAACGGGUUGAGAUGCAGAUGAACAGUGAGCACGGAUGUGGGGUCCUGCAUUCUUUUUGCUCCCACCCACGGCCCAGAGCCCUCUCCUCCCUCCCACCUAUUCCCAGGAACGCUGCUGAAACAUUGUCCUUUUGACAGUUAAAUGAAGCCUGGCUUAUUGGCAGCACCAUCCACAGAAUUAAGUGGAGAGCUGAAAGGUGGAGGUAAGAAGCUUGCCAUCUGGAUUUCCUCCAAGGAGGCUUUGAUUCUUAUUCUCCUGUCAGAUGGACAAGUUUACUUUGAAAUGUCUGGGAACGGUAAGCAUUUUGCUGUUCACUGCUGAAGGCACCAAAACAUUGGCGAGCAUCCCAAGAGACAGCAGGAUGGAAAGAAGAACACUUCUGACCAGGAACAGAGGGCUGUGGAGUCCAGCCACACCCCUGCUCCAGGAGCUUGUGACCAGGGCCAGCCACUCACUGUCAUACCUCAAUUUCUUUGUCUGAGAAAUGGAGAUGAUCGAAGCUACCCUGCUCUCCCAUUGCACAGGCUGUUCUGCUGACCAAGUGAGGUAAUGGGAGAGAAACUGCUUUGAAAAGUACAGAGUGAAACACGAGCCUUCAUCCCUACUAUUUAACCCUAACUUCAGAGUUAUUUUGACCAAGAGGAGUGGAGGAGUGAGGGAGCAGAGCCUGGGUUCUUUCCUGCCUGCCUGCCUUCUCCUGAAAUGCCCUGGCUGAGACACCAGUCUCUCCAAGCCUCAGAUCCUUCAUCAGUAACAGCAGCUAUUGGAUAUCAGUGAGCCUGUUCCAAACAGACUUGUUUUCAGAAUUUAAUACCAAUAGUAAGAGCUGACUUCAGCUGGGAGCAGUGGCUCACGCCUGUAAUGCCAGCACUUUGGGAGGCCGAGGUGGGGGAGGUCAGGAGAUCAAGAUCAUCCUGGCUAACACGGUGAAACCCCGUCUCUACUAAAAAUACAAAAAAUUAGCCAGGCAUGGUGGCGGGCACCUGUAGUCCCAGCUACUCGGAAGGCUGAGGCAGGAGAAUGGCAUGAACCCGGGAGGUGGAGCUUGCAGUGAGCCGAGAUUGCGCCACUGCACUCCAGCCUGGGCGAAAGAGUGAGACUCCUUCUCAAAAAAAAAAAAAAAAAAAAAAAAAAAAAGCUGACUUCUAUUAAUAUACUUGCUAUAUGCAAGAUUAAAAAGUGUAAAUAAACACUCUGUUUUGUCCUAUUAUGGCUUCUGGCUUUCAUGCCAUGCCUUUCCCUACACCAACAUAAAUGAUUACAAAAUAUUUAAAAAAUAGUUUCUUCUAUUACUUAUAUGGUUUUUGUGCAUUUAGUUCAUUAAGCCAUCCAGAGAAUAUUUUUGUUCAUGGUGUUGGGUAUAUAAUCUAAUUGAUCUAAUUUAACUUUUCCAAAGUGGAUAGAAUAUUGUCAUGUGAAUUUACUCUUUCUUGCCACCAAUUCAAAAUGUCAUGUUUGUCACACUCUAAAUUCCACACAGGUCUGUUUCUGGAUUCCUAAUUGUAUUCAACUGAUUUCUUUUAUUGAUUUCAAUGUCAAUACUAUGCCAUUGAAAUGACCAUAACUGUAAUACUUUGGACAGGGUAUUUGUCAUUAUUGUUUUUUCUCUGUGGAAUGCUGCCAUGUUUUCUUUUUCCAGAGAAACCAUAGCAUUUGUCUCCUUCCUGGAACAUGCACCAAUAUUCACAUGCCAUGAGCUGUCAUUGUUCAUAAAGUUGGCUUGGGUCCUGGCAUCUGUAAGCUCACAAUAGGAUGUUCUUCCUUAUGUGUUUCCACAAGGGAAUAAAUGCAGCUCCAUAACUGCUUAUUGGAUGGAAAAUGCUCUCUGUGACAGCAGGGAGCUCGUGCCUCUUCUAAAGAGGAGAUUGCAUUUCUGGUGACAUUGGCUGCCCUGUGCUGGAUUUUUACUGACUGCCUCUUUAGAAUCCAGCUCUCUUCAUGGUGCCACACUGCCUGCCUGCUCUUGUCUCUCAGGGUAGAAGUCGUGGACCUAGAUUCCAAUCCUGCUGAUGCCAGCCACAAUUUUGGGAACCUAAACAAUUCCCUGCACCUUGCUGUACACCUUGGUUUCCCCAUCUGCCUGCUGUUUCUGGCUUCGGGUAAUACAAAAUAGCUGAUCGUUGGGCUGUUAACAGGUGCCUGUGGUUUCCAUUUACUUCAUUCUUUAGUUAAGAGGUAUUUAAAGGCUUAAAAUAGAGUUGGAACUUUCUCAUCCUGAGUUGCUUAAAAAACAAAACACAAACAAUCCAAAACUUUUCGUUAAAAAACAAAAUGCAGGCUGAGCAUGGUGGCUCACGCCUGUAAUCCCAGCACUUUGGGAGGCUGAGGCGGGCGGAUCACCUAAGGUCGGGAGUUCGACACCAGCCUGACCAACAUGGAGAAACCCCGUCUCUACUAAAAAUACAAAGUUAGCUGGGUGUGGUGGUGCAUGCCUGUAAUCCCAGCUACUCGGGAGGCUGAGGCCGAAGAAUCGCUUGAACUCGGGAGGUGGAGGUUGUGGUGAGCUGAGAUCAUGCCAUUGCACCCCAGCCUGGGCAACAAAAGCAAAACUCUGUCUCACAACAAACAAACAAACAAACAAACAAACAAAAAAGCCCAAAAAAACCCACAAAAUCCACAAAUGCUUAUCAGGCUUGCCUUCAGAUGCUCUGAGUGCACAGAUGUCUUCACUGUACAAUGAGGUUGGAAAGUGAAUCCUCUGUGGGGAGUUUCCAGGUGGCUGGUGCUAUAGAGUGGGCUCAUCAGGCUGCACUGGCUGUGGGCCUGUCCCUGCCAACCCCAGCUUGGAAAUGGGGAGGCCCUUGGACAUUUGCUUUCAAGAGCUGAGAACCAGUCCCUGUAAAGAGUAAGGCUUCUUUGCUUUACCUCAAUUACAUAUUUCUAUAAGAAGUUUCUUUCACCAGGAGAACCUUGAGCUCAAGGCAAGUGUGGACCAUUGGGUUGGUCAUGUGGGUCUAAAUUUCAGGUCUUGGAAGGUAAGUAGUGCAUGGACGGGUAGAAGCAUAGUCCCCCAAAAGUAGCAAAUUUUUUCUCUUUUUUUUUCCAUUAAGACCUAAAAAUCUGCUACUCAAUUUGCCUAACGGUGAAAUUUCUGAGAUUGAAGUCACUGGAUAAUGACAUUCCAGAAUAUGUUCUUUUAUCUUCGUUAUUUAUUUAUUUAUUUGAGACGGAGUCUCGCUCUGUCGCCAAGGCUGGAGUGCAAUGGUGCCAUCUCGGCUCACUGCAACCUCUGCCUCCAAGGUUCAAGCGAUUCUCCUGCUUCAGCCUCCCAAGUAGCUGGGAUUACAGACAUCUGUCACCACAUCUGGGUAAUUUUUGUACUUUUAGUAGAGACGGGGUUUCAUCACAUUGGUCAGGCUGGUCUUGAACUCCUGCCCUCAGGUGAUCCACCCGCCUCAGCCUCCCAAAGUGUUAGGAUUACAGGCAUGAGCCACCAUGCCCGGCCUUAUCUGCAUUGUUAUCCUCUUGCUUGAUAACUUUUUAAAUUGUUAAAUUUAUUAUUUGUCCCCAUGAAAGCAAGCAACAUUUAAAUUGUUACAAUUGACUAUGUAAGAGUGUGUCUGAUAAAAUAUAGUCUCAAAAAUUAUGCGCAUUUAUAAACCUUUCAUCAAACAAUAGUGUUCAAGAAAAUAAUUUCUCUGUAUUCCUCUCCUCUUUUUCUUCCUUUCUUCUCCUUUUUUUUUUUUUCUCCCUGUCUCCUACACCUUUGGCUGCAGACUUCAGGAGCAAAUUUCCAUAGAUAGAGAAAACAAAUUUCAUUACUGAAUGUGACCCUAUUUUCUAAGGACCCAGAAAAGAUGUAAAUGAAAUGACAAAUCUGAACAUCUUUUGUAGGAGAGUAAAAGUUAGAUUUGGUCAAGUAUUUAAGUAAAUUGGUUAAGUAAAUCUAUACCUUUUGCAUAGCAGGUUAAAGCAAGUGAAAACUAAAGGAGAUGUUUUCAGACAGAGCUGGAAAAAAGCAGUUUUUGGAAACUGAGAAGCAGUUCUGGGAAACCCGAUGCAUGUGGCUUUAUUGAUGAUGAUGAUAGAGAAUUUGCUGAGACCCUGAAACUAUGGUGACUUGAGGAUGUUAAGAUACAUUUAAAAUUUAUCAUUUAAGUACCUACGAUGUUGAACAUUUUUACAAAUGCAUAAAGGAUAUGGCUCUCUGUACCUAAGAGGAGGGUUAGACACCUCUAUAAAUGCACUCUGCCAGGGGGGUAUCUAGUGAUAUGUCCGUCAUCCAUGCAGGGGCUAUUACUGUCUGUCUGGGUACCAGAAGCAGCCUCUGGAGAAAAGGAGGACUCUUGGGAUGGGGAGGAAGUAUGAUGAAGACAUCUUUAGACUUGGAGCAUCUCCUAGGUUGGGGUGGAGCUAGUGUAAAAGAAGGAUGGGCAGAUGGGUGUUAGUUUCUUGGCCCAGGGGUGCACAGGCUCCUCCAUUCCAGGGCACUCUGAUGAGGAAGAUUUUACUCUCUCUGUUUGAAGCUGGUAAAACCAAAAUUCUGGAAAUUUGCCGAGUCUUUCAAAGACUGCCUGUGAUAAUUUUAUGUGUCAAUCUGACUGGAUCUGGGGAUGCCUAGAUGUCUGGUUAAACAUUAUUUUUGGUGUGUCUGUGGGGGGUUGGAGUUGGUGGACUUAGUGAAGUACAUUUAUUUUUCUGCUUCACUGUUGAGCUGGGAUGUCUUAUCUCAUCUUGCCCUGUGCUCAGACAUUACACCAUCGGCCCCCCUGGUUCUCAGGUCUUCAAACUUGGACUGAAUGACACCCCAGAUUUCCUGGCUCCCAAGCUUGUGACAGCAUGUCAUGGGACUUCCCAGUCUCCAUGAUCUUGUGAGCCAAUUAAUGUGUGUGUGUGUGUGUGUGGUCAGAUGUUAAUUCUCAUCUUACACUUGUGUGUAAGUGAGUGUGUGUGUUUGUGUGUGCGUAUUGGUUUUGCUUCUCUGGGAAACCCUAACACAUCCUCAAAAGCAGCUGUUCCAUGGUGCAUGGCAGCCUUUAUGGAGAUUGGACCAGCUUCAAGGAGCCAGGACUGACACUCACAGGGGCUCAGGGGCCUUUCCUCAUUGGCCCCUCCCUGCAGGUUGCUUCUUUGUGGUCCGACUUUAAUUCUCAUUUUACACUUGUAACUUAGCGUGUUUGUGCAUCCAUGACUCUUGUGAUUAAAGUUAGAAGCUUUUGUGAAGGGCUGGGGACACAGUAGAAGAGUGCCUUUGGAUAAUAAAAGAAAAAUAGGCUGCAUACUUAACAUGUGCUGUGCAAUGUGCAAAGCAACUUACACACAUUACCUUCUUUAAUCCUCAAAACAGCUCUAUAAGGCAGAUUCUACCAUCUCCAUUUUCUCAGAAAGGGCACUCUAUGGUUUGCACCAGGUUCAUGGAGUCUUUCUCACUGUUUGGAGAUGGCUGAAUGGCUGUUUCCUGCAUUAUAAUACUUGAAGUUAUACAAGGAAACAGAGAAAACGUAGGAAGUGACAGAGAGGACUUUACCCAGAAGAAUCCUUUUGAUAUCAGGUGACAUAAAAUCUGACCUAAGUUGGUAAAACGGUACAGAGAAUUCGUUGGCUCCUGUAAUUGAAAAAUACAGGGCUUGUCUCACUUCAGGUACAGCUUGAUCCAGCUUCAAACACUAUACCCAGGUUUUACUUUCUUUAUCUAUUUCUUGACUCACCUUCAGGAAUGUUUGCUCAUUUCUUUGGCAGGCUCUUUCUUCAGUCUCAAGGUGGCUAUCGGUACUUCAGGGGCUACAGCCUUCCUUGUGCACAUGCAGCAGAAGAGAGAGGGUUACUAUUUUCAAUUGUUGAAAAGAAGUUUUCAGCUGGAUUUUUACUGGCCUGAGAUGUCAGUGGAAAUGUUCAUCCACGAACCAAUCUCUGUGACCAAGAAGGUGGAAUAUGCUAUUCGGUGAAAGCCAAUCAGAGCCCACCCCUGGGGCUGGGGCAUGGAGUUAGUCCCUUUCCAUUAACUUGGUGUGAAAGUGAGGGACGGCUGGUUACCCAGAAAAUUGCUGAGACACUGUUUUACCAAAAGAAGGAUGGAAGGAUAAUGGGCAGCCAAAACGACUGAUGUCAACUGUAGGCAUAGAGGAUGAGCUCCCUGUUGGUUCCACCAACUGCUUGUCAGGUCUUUAGGUCUCGAUUGAAUCAUAGAUUUUUUUGUUGUUGUUGCUAGAGAAUGGACCUACCUUCUUUUUCCCCUCAAGCGGUUGGCAAGUUUGGUCCUCCCCUGGCUGUGAUAGUGAAGAGAUUAAAUUGAUACAUCACAUGACUUCUAAUUAUGUUUUGCAAUUCCCAUAUGUGCUGUUUUAUUUGUUCCUCUUCGCCAACCUUUGAAGUGGGAAAGACUGAGAUUAUCACCUCCAUUUUUCAAAUAAGGACAUAAUCUCAGAAAGUUAAUGAUGAGGUUCAGGUCAUGCUUGUCAUUUGCCCAGUUACUCAACACAUUCGGCUAUUACUCUACAAAAAAUAUUUUGAGGGCCAGUCAUGUUGGUAGAGCUGUUGGCAAGACACCACUUUAUGCCCUGGGCAGCCACAUUUGGCUUAUCCAGGUCUGAGCACCCAGCUUUGAAAAGGUCACAUUGGUCAUAGGGAUGAUGUUCAGAGACAAGUGGCCCAGGGCAGAGGAGACCUGCGUUUCAUGGCAGAAGGAGAGUGUCUGAAACAGAGGAGAAAAGACCAUGAGAUGCCAUGACUGCUGUCUUCUCAUACUGGAAGGCCUAUCACAUGGAAGAGGGAAUCAUUCUGAGCCAGAGGAGUGGCUGUCAGCUAAGAAUAUAGGAGAACUCCCAGCAAUGAGGUCUGCUUACCAACAGGACAGUCUAUCUUUACUCAAGCAAGAAAUAAAUGAUGACAGAAAAGAGAUGCCUUCAUUUGGUAAAAGAGGCUGGAUUUAAUUUAAUGAAAUUAUUUCACUGAGUCCCUCACACGUAAGAAUUCCAAGGACUCUGCCCUGAAGCAACUUACAGCCUAGCCAGGGGGAUGAGGAAGGUGCACAGACACACUAAUAUGGAAAAAGGUGCAAUGCAGUCAGAUCGUGCAGAGGUGGCAACAGGACUUUUGUCUGCCUGGGUUUGACUCUUUACUUUCUGCCUGCUUUGAUUGGUUGUGCCUCAGAGUCCUCAUCUGUAAAGUGAGACCAUAGUGCCAACAACCACAUGGGCAUUCAGCACAGGGGUCCGCACAAGGAAAGUGCUCAUUAAAUCCUAGUGAUUACUGUUGCUAGAAAAGAGAGAGUCCAUGGGGUGUGCCAGGCUCAGGGUUUCUGACCCUACAAAGGCCGGCAGGGAGCUGAGGAGGUGGGGAGAAAGCAGGAAAGGCUUCAGUAGCGAAGCCCUGGAAACAGGUUUUCCUCACAGUCCAUCAUGCUUCCAAUUUCAGGACUGAUGCUGAUUGUUUUGCAGACUCAUCCAUCCCAAACAAAUUCCUGCAAACCCAAGUUAAUCUGAACAGCAUGUGGAGAGCUUCUGGGGCUUCAGCUGCUAACGGGUGAAGUGCUGAGAUGCUUGGGUGAUAAUGGAUCCAUCUCCCAGAAGGACUUUUCUGGAGGAGACCAAGGAAAGAAGGGGUAAAGCUGGCUCGCUCUCUUGCUGCUGUUAGAACCCUGAGGUCACUGCGUGAAUGAGCCUGAGCUCGUCUGUUGAGGACAAGAGGCCACAAGGAGGGGAACUGGCCUCCAGCCUGCCAAUUGUCUGUGUGAGGCCAUCCUAAACCAUCCAGCUGUUAUGGACCCACUGCCAAUGAGAUUGUCCCGCAGAGAUCAGCCAACCUAAUCUGGACCAGAACCAUCCAGCUGACCACAGAGUCAUGAGAAAUAAUAAAGGCGUGUUGCUUUUAAGCCAGUAAGUUUGAGGCCACUUUGUUAGGCAGCAAAAGCUGACAUAUAAGUCAGCUAACAUCUCACAUGUCUCAAACCAGGGCAUCUCAGGUGAUACAGGGACAAGAAGACCCCACGGAGUGAGUGUGCCACUUGUUUCAUCCACAGGCCUGCCUGUCCUUAGCUCAGCCAAGAGGCUUCCUGGGCUCCUGGGAGGUGCACAGGCUACCAACAACAGGAAGAAAAGUGCAUUCAGAUUUUGUUUAUAACAUGCAUUAGCUUCAUGUCAGAGCAUAAAUAAUUCCUUCCAAAUACUGAAGCACAAAAUCCAGGAGAGUGCAACCUAUGCAGAGAAGACUUGUAUAUAAAAUCUGGCUUCCCCUAGGGCAUUUCAUAUAUCCAGAGAGUUAAUUGUUCCACUGAGGUUUCUUUUGAUUUUAUUGUAUCUGAAAACAGCCAGGAAGAGCAAAGAAGUUGGCUGGGUCUCAAGCCAAGUAGAAAGGUGUGUAGGCCUGUCAGCGUGAUGAGGGAGGCAGGCCCUUCCUUCGUCCUUCUUCUUGGGUGAUCUUCCCAGUGACAACUGACUCCCAGAGAGAAUAAGUGCUCCAUAAAUGUGCCUGUUUGGUUAACACAGUCAUGAAAAGGGUGGAUGGGGUUGACUUUGUAGAUGUAUUUUUACUCAGGGCUAAGAAAUUUUGGAAAUGGAGUAAAUGCCUCCAUUCCUGGCACAAAUACAAGUGCAUUUCCAGAAAUUCUGGGUCUCAUACUGGGCACAGCUGAGAGAAGCAGAACACAGCUGCCCGGUUAGGUGGGAAAUGGGGUCACUUUGCCCCCUGUGCUUGCUUCUGCCAUGUCAGGGUGCUAGGUCCAUUCACUAGCACACAGCCCCUGACAGCAAAGAGUUUCACUUGCGCGUCAAAGGGAACAAUCUAAUUCCGUUUGUAAAUGAUGGCCGACAACAGUUAUCAUUGGAAACUUGUCACUAAGCGUGGUUGUUCAUGUGGUCUUUGUGUUGAUAUAACCAAUUACCAAUUCACACCACCAAUACCCAGUUUGAUGUCUCACUUCUCGUUACUAAUUUCUUCCAUAGAUUUAGCCUGGGUUCAUUCAGGAACAGCAGUAGCUGGCCUGUGUUAGGUGAUGAGGUUUGAUUCAUACUUCCAGGACUGUGAAUCUUCUCCAUAUGUGGACUGUUUGCACUGAGUAAUUCAAUGUAAGCACAACACCUGCGUUUCUAAUGCCGCCAUAUUGGUGAGACAGGUCCCAACUUACAGUCUGUCCAUCAUUACUAUACCCAUGCUGUGGUGUCUACUGCAGCAGUCAGAUUCCCUUUAUCAGGUACUGUCUGCCUGAAUAAUUGCUGUGGAUUUGUUUUAACAUGCUUUCUGGAGAAGCUACACAUUCUUAUUCUGUGCAGACAUUCUAUAUAUGUCUUGGUUGAUUGGUUUUAGAUUAGCCAUUUAAUGAAAAUAAAAUGUAUUUGGAGAGCUUGGAAGCCACUGUCAGUUUAUCAGGAGCUCUGCAGACAGAAAAAUGAAAUUAUUUUGUGGAUUCCUCCUCCUUAAUGGGAAUGUCAUGCUACAGGCAGCUCCUUGGGAUAAUGAAAAAAGCUGGAUGUAAAAAUGUAAACAUGCAAUUAAGGAGGCCUAGCUGUUUGGUGUGUUUAUCUACUGCGUAAUUCUCCAAACUAAUUAAUUUUAUGCUAAAAUGCAUGAAAUCUAGAUAAUUCAGGCCUGAUUUGAUUAACCAUCUCUUAUAAAAGAAAACACCUUGUAUCAAAUCUUUCUCUGCUGGCAAGCAGGUUGCUACUGGGUGCUGGGGUAUUUUAGUAUUUGGUCUCAAACUAAAUUGAUGGGGGAGUAAGGGCUGCAAUGCUAGCAAAGUGUUUGUGCAAAUCUCUUUGCGUAUUAUUCUACUCCAAUGUAGAAUGAAGGCACUGAGGCCUCUUGAAUGGUCAGAGAAGUCUUGUAAAUCAUAAGUAUGUAAGAAAUAAAGGUGAGCUGUCUAUUCUAGCAUUUCCCCUUCUGUAUUCCAAACUGCUGGUUCCAGGAGAGAUGGGCAGGGAGGGUGGCUCCUCCAUGCAUCUUACGCCCAGUUCUUGGAGAGUUGGUCUUUGCAUGUGAGCCCAACUUUAUUUGAGUGUUGGCGGUCUCUGAAUUUUAGGAUUAAUGACAUUAAAUGUUUUGUUUUGUUUUGCUGAGACAGAGUUUCACUCUGUUGCCCAGGCUGGAGGGCAGUGGCACAAUCACAGUUCACUGCAGCCUUAAACUCCUGUGCUCAAGAGACCCUCCCACCUCAGCCUUUCCAGUGGCUUGGAUACAGGCAUGCACCACCAUGCCUGUCUAAUUUAUUAUUAUUAUUAUUAUUAUUAUCAUUAUUAGCUGUAGAGAUGGGGUUUUACUAUCUCUACAAUAUUAUUAUUGUAGAGAUGGGGUCUUACUAUGUUGCCCAGGCUGAUCUUGAACCCUGGGCUCAAGGGAUCUUCCUGCUUUGGCCCCUCAAAGUGCUGGGAUUACAGGCAUGAGCCACCUUGCCCAGCCCUAGAUAAUAUGCUUAAUCUCAAAUCCCUGCCUAAUUGAUACUUAAAAGUCUUCCAUUUGCAAUUCUAUUUUUUUUAGUUGAUUGCCUCAUUCUAGGCUAUGAAUGGGUAACACGAACCUCUUUGAUCCCAUGUAGCUCCCUGUCACUCCUGCUCUAGGUCCAACUCUGACAUUUAUUGAAUUUUUGAAGUUUCUUAGUUAUUUUCCAGCUGUUUUCCAGAGUUAGGAGCUUGGAGAUAGAGGUUUGCCAUGAAAAAUUACCAUAAAGUCAGUACAUAUUUCUCCAUGGGGAAGCCGAGCCAGAGAGGCCUGAUUCAUGCAAGUUCAUGUUUCACCUUUGUCAUAAUUGUUCUAAUGACAUGGUAACAAGAAGCAGAUGGCCUUCCUUACAGGAACCUCCAGAAACCAGAUGGUGUGAGCAUCUGAGACAGGCAGGGACUUGGUGGUGAGGGGAGCAGUAAAUGAGGGGAGAGCCACAGGCUCUGACCUGUACUAGGUUUCAAGGUUUAUCAAACUGAGCUGCAUACCUGGGGUGUCCAUUUAGACAGAGAAGAACAUCGCACCAUCUGGUCAGUGGGGUCCCUCUGAAAAUGAUACCUCUCAGGAUGGAGGCAGAGACCUUCCUCUCAGCCUCAUUCCUAUGGUCUCUUGUGUCACACUGAGCAACACAUCUGUUUGCUACUUCCUGGAAGAGUGUAAGAGAAUUCAUGGUCAUUAUGAAAGGUGUGGAUGCCAGAAGUUAUCUAGAUAUUUCAGAUAUUCAGACAUUCAUGUUUAAAUAUAUUUGUAGCCAAAAAAUGUUGGACAGUUUAAAUAGCAAGAUGCAUGAAAUAGUUGUGAUAAAAUAAUUUGUACAGUGACAUUUAAGCUUUGCACACAAGCAAUAUUCAUUAAAUAUCAAAUCGAACCUCUAAUGUUGAAUUUCUCUGAAUUAAGUCCUGGCUUGUUUCUCUCAUCUCUUCUUCUCCAUUCUUUUACCAGUUUCUCUCAUUCAUCCCUGAGGCUUCAAUACCUGCUGACACAGCUAGGCUCUGCCACACAGCUAGCCUGGAUGCCUCAUCUGAGAGACAAAAGUAAAACAUAUGUUUGAUAAAGGGUUAAUAUCCAAAAUAUGUUGGAAACACAUACAACUCAAUAGCAAUCUACCAACCAAACAAAUCUGAUUUAAAAAUGGGCAAAUGACCUCAACAGACAUUUUUCUAAGGAAGACAUGCAAGUGGCCAACAAGUACAAGAAAAGGUACCCAAUAUCAUUAACCAUCAGGGAAAAGCAAAUCAAAAACCAUAAUGAAAUAUCACCUCACACUUGGUGAGUUGGCUGUUACCAAAAAGACAAAAGAUAAGAAGGAUGUGGGGCAAGCACAUGGAGAAAAGGGGACGCUUGCGCACUGAUCAUGGGAAUGUACAUUUGUACAGCUAUUAUGGAAAACAGUAUGGAAGGUCCUAAAAAAUAGAACUACCAUAUGAUCUGCAAUCCCACUUCUGGGUAUACACCCAAAAGAAAAAAAUCAAAGAUAUAUCUGCACUCCCAUGGCUAUUGCAGCAUCAUUCACUAUGGCCACGUUAUGGAAUCAACAACCUAAGUGUCUAGCAAUGGGUGAAUGGAUAUAGGGAAUGUGGUAUUUAUAUAUGAUGGAAUAUUAUUCAGCCACACAAGAAGGAAAUCCUGCCACGUGUGAUAACACGGAUGAACCCCAAAAAGACUGCUAAGUGAAGUAAACCAUUUAGUUACUUUUUUUGUGGAGAGACACUUAAGAUCUCUCUUAAAUCUCAAGUAGACCAUGCAAUAUUAUUAACUAUAGUCACCAUUAUUCUCAUAACUGAUGGUUUAUGCCAUUUGACCAACUUCUCCCUAUUUUCCCCACCCUUCAGUCCCUGGUAACCACUGUCUGCUCUUUGUUUCUGUGAGUUUGACUUCUUGAAAUUCCAUAAUAUAAGUGAGAUCAAGCAGUAUGUUUCUUUCUGUGUCUGGCUUAUUCACAGAUCAGGAAGCUGACUUAGAGAUACAAUGUGACUUAAGUAAGGCCAAGUGGCUCUUGAGCGGUGGAAAUCGAAUCUGGUCCUCAGGUCUGUACACUUACCCACUGCUCUAUGCUGCCUGCCAUGACUUCUAGUGCCUCUUUCUCUUCCUGGAAUUCUCUAAGCACCCAGCCUGGCCCUUCUGUCUCCUUUGUACCUGCUUAUCCCAUUACUCAAAGGUCAAGAUCAUGGGAUGCAUCUGUGAGCAUCUGUGAAGUUCUGGGAAUUUCCAUGUGCUUGAGGGAUCCAGUGGCUGUUAUCAUCUGUGGUGCCUGAGAACUGGGAAGAAAAGACAGAAAUGGAAUGAGUGAUGUCACCGAAUGCUUGCUUAAUGUCUGCCCAUGUUCACAGCUCAGGAUGAGGACUUUUAGUUGACUAACAGCUUCGAUUUCCAGAAUAAAAUAUCUAGUGAUUGUUUGAACUGCGAAAUCCUCAUUAUGUGAAAUGCCAAUUCGAAGCCCCAGCGUGUUACCUUCUCCUGGACAGUAAUGCUUCUGAACAGAAAGGGCAUCUUACUCGAAGUGAGCAUGCAAUUAGUCUUGACAAAAGAAUUGAAAAUGAAAUCCUAAUUUGUGCUGUGUUUAUCGAUCUGCACUGCUGUCUUUGCUGCAGCCUUGGAGCUUGUCUCCAUCAGCACCUUCUUCCCAGGGACAGCUCUUUUUAUGUUGAACAUGGUCAGGCCUAAUUGGAGUCUUGCUGUUGGUCUCCCAGAGCUUCAGGAAUCUCAGUUCAGCCUCAGUUGGAACAAGGGAGUUGGGUUACCCCAACAGUACUUUGGAAAAUGAAUCAUGGUGGUUGCCGAUAUUUUCGUUGGCAUUUUUUCAGAAAGAGCCAGUGCCAUGGCACUAGGAAGGGCCCCUGCUGAAUAGCAAAGGAGGAGGCAGUCCUUGUAGAGAGACCAGGCGGUAGGACAAAGUUAGGGUUUGCUUUAUGGUUUCCCCUUCCCUCUGUUUCUAGAACUCACACAGAGAGUUUGGACCCCUGAAAGUGAUUAUUCUUUUGCUUGGGAUGAUUUUCCCAGCAUGUGCAUAACUGACUGUGUCUCAUUAUUCAGGUCUCUGCGCAAGUGUUGCAUCCUCAAAGAGGGCUUCUCUGGCAGUCCUAUAUAAAGUGUCUCUACUUUCCUGGGCAUUCUUGUUCAUACUUUCUCAUUUUAUUUACUCAUGUAAUUUGUUAUUCUGUAAAAUUACCUCAUUUAUUUUAUGUCUCUCCAGCUAGAAUAUAUGUUCCAUGAGGUCAGAGACUCGGUUUUGUUUUCUGCUGUCUGCUGAGCAUAACGGGUGCUCUAUAGGUGAUUUUUUAGUGAACGAUUAAGUGAGCGAAUUAAUGAAAUCCAUUAUAGAGGCAGCUAAUCAGGUGGGCCUUCCCUCUGUUUUAGCUGGCAGAUUUUAAGAGUGAAACCCAGAAUAUCUCUUCCAGAAAAGCCUAAGAUGAAGCAAGGUUUGAAUAAAGUCAAGAGGGAUAGAGCUUGGUGGUGAAUAAAAGGAGACUUUUACUGCUUCUCUCAACUUCAGCUGAAAAUCUUUCCUGAGGCAACAUUGUCAAGCCCAUUACUUGGGUUAUUUCACAAGUCAUCAAAGGGUCUGCCAUUGAUCUGGGUUGUUGGGAGACUAAACAAAUGCAAUUCCCUAAUUGGCUUCUAGAUGGAAACUGCAUUCAGCCCUGAGCUGAGAGCGAUUUAUCUUGUAUGCAGGACAGUGGUGCGGAGAGGAGGAGUAAUGGGCUAGCAUCGGAAAGGGAUAGAUUGAGUUUAGGUGUUUAGAAAUAACUGUUUUGUCAGAUAAAUCAGGCAGUGGGGCGAUCUGAUUAACGAUCACAGAAUAAUCAUUUGGUGCUUUAAAAGAAGCUAGAAAUACUGAGAGAAGAGAGAAUAAGAAAUUGAGGGACAAGACGAGAAAAAGUUUUCUUAUUCUGCAUUGUUCCCACCAUCCACUUGGGGCCACCCGCAAGUAAAAGAGAAGCUGUGUUCACACACAGAUGAGUUUAAAAGGGUGAGAAAUCUCACUUGAAACUAGCAUUAAGAUGCAUCUUAUGCUUUAAAAAAUUUUUAAUUAAGGUAUAAUGCAUGCAGCAAACUUUGUAAAGUGCACUAAUUUUAAAUGUACAGCUCAAUUAAUUUUUACGUCUAAAAUCAUCAACCAGACAAGACAUAAAGCAUUUCCAGCUCCCCAGAAGAGUUCCUUUUGCCUCUUCCCAGUUAACAUCUCCCAGAAGUAGCCACUGUCCUGAAUUAUACCCUCAUACAUUAUGUAGUCUUUUGAACCUGGCUUACUGUGUUCAGCUGUGAGAACAAUGUCUGUGUGAUUUAUCCAUGUUAUUGUGUUUCUUAGCAGUUUAUUAUUUUUAAUUUCUGUGUCAUAUUCCAUUGUAUAAAUAUACGAAAUUUAUUCUCUUGCUGAUGAACAUUUGGAUUGUUUCCAAUUUUUGGCUAUUAUAAAUAUAUUUAAAAUAAAUGUUUCCAAUAAAUGUUGGAAAUAUGCUUGGAUAUUUUCUUGACUCUUUGUGGGUGGCCAGGAGGGUUGAGGAUUGGAACUUGGAACCAAAGUCUCUGAAAUAAAGUUCGAAUCAAUCAUACCCUCUGGUUCCCAGCAGCCCUCCAUAUAGCAGAAAUUAUAAUCUCUGGACAUUGCACACAGUUAAACAAUUUAUCUAACCUAGGCAGCCAAAAUGUAUUCCACUGCAAUGAUGACAAUUCAUUCCUCCUUAUACAUGAUGGGUCACAGGCAAGAAUGACACCGUAAUAGCCAACAUUUAUUAAACACACAUUAUGUCCCAAGCCUGUGCAAAACUCCACCUGGGCUACCUCACUCAUUCUUAUUUACAGAUUACAACAUAG
rnacentral:lncRNA from 10 species